rnacentral:rRNA from 2 species
AGACCCGAAACCCGGUGAUCUAGCCAUGGGCAGGUUGAAGGUUGGGUAACACUAACUGGAGGACCGAACCGACUAAUGUUGAAAAAUUAGCGGAUGACCUGUGGCUGGGGGUGAAAGGCCAAUCAAACCGGGAGAUAGCUGGUUCUCCCCGAAAGCUAUUUAGGUAGCGCCUCGUGAAUUCAUCUCCGGGGGUAGAGCACUGUUUCGGCUAGGGGGCCAUCCCGGCUUACCAACCCGAUGCAAACUGCGAAUACCGGAGAAUGUUAUCACGGGAGACACACGGCGGGUGCUAACGUCCGUCGUGAAGAGGGAAACAACCCAGACCGCCAGCUAAGGUCCCAAAGUCAUGGUUAAGUGGGAAACGAUGUGGGAAGGCCCAGACAGCCAGGAUGUUGGCUUAGAAGCAGCCAUCAUUUAAAGAAAGCGUAAUAGCUCACUGGUCGAGUCGGCCUGCGCGGAAGAUGUAACGGGGCUAAACCAUGCACCGAAGCUGCGGCAGCGACGCUUAUGCGUUGUUGGGUAGGGGAGCGUUCUGUAAGCCUGUGAAGGUGGCCUGUGAGGGUUGCUGGAGGUAUCAGAAGUGCGAAUGCUGACAUAAGUAACGAUAAAGCGGGUGAAAAGCCCGCUCGCCGGAAGACCAAGGGUUCCUGUCCAACGUUAAUCGGGGCAGGGUGAGUCGACCCCUAAGGCGAGGCCGAAAGGCGUAGUCGAUGGGAAACGGGUUAAUAUUCCCGUACUUGGUGUUACUGCGAAGGGGGGACGGAGAAGGCUAUGUUGGCCGGGCGACGGUUGUCCCGGUUUAAGCGUGUAGGUGUGUGUUCCAGGUAAAUCCGGUUCACUUUAACACUGAGGCGUGACGACGAGGCACUACGGUGCUGAAGCAACAAAUGCCCUGCUUCCAGGAAAAGCCUCUAAGCAUCAGGUAACAUCAAAUCGUACCCCAAACCGACACAGGUGGUCAGGUAGAGAAUACCAAGGCGCUUGAGAGAACUCGGGUGAAGGAACUAGGCAAAAUGGUGCCGUAACUUCGGGAGAAGGCACGCUGACACGUAGGUGAAGUGAUUUACUCAUGGAGCUGAAGUCAGUCGAAGAUACCAGCUGGCUGCAACUGUUUAUUAAAAACACAGCACUGUGCAAACACGAAAGUGGACGUAUACGGUGUGACGCCUGCCCGGUGCCGGAAGGUUAAUUGAUGGGGUCAGCGCAAGCGAAGCUCCUGAUCGAAGCCCCGGUAAACGGCGGCCGUAACUAUAACGGUCCUAAGGUAGCGAAAUUCCUUGUCGGGUAAGUUCCGACCUGCACGAAUGGCGUAAUGAUGGCCAGGCUGUCUCCACCCGAGACUCAGUGAAAUUGAACUCGCUGUGAAGAUGCAGUGUACCCGCGGCAAGACGGAAAGACCCCGUGAACCUUUACUAUAGCUUGACACUGAACAUUGAGCCUUGAUGUGUAGGAUAGGUGGGAGGCUUUGAAGUGUGGACGCCAGUCUGCAUGGAGCCGACCUUGAAAUACCACCCUUUAAUGUUUGAUGUUCUAACGUGGACCCGUUACCCGGGUUGCGGACAGUGUCUGGUGGGUAGUUUGACUGGGGCGGUCUCCUCCUAAAGAGUAACGGAGGAGCACGAAGGUUGGCUAAUCCUGGUCGGACAUCAGGAGGUUAGUGCAAUGGCAUAAGCCAGCUUGACUGCGAGCGUGACGGCGCGAGCAGGUGCGAAAGCAGGUCAUAGUGAUCCGGUGGUUCUGAAUGGAAGGGCCAUCGCUCAACGGAUAAAAGGUACUCCGGGGAUAACAGGCUGAUACCGCCCAAGAGUUCAUAUCGACGGCGGUGUUUGGCACCUCGAUGUCGGCUCAUCACAUCCUGGGGCUGAAGUAGGUCCCAAGGGUAUGGCUGUUCGCCAUUUAAAGUGGUACGCGAGCUGGGUUUAGAACGUCGUGAGACAGUUCGGUCCCUAUCUGCCGUGGGCGCUGGAGAACUGAGGGGGGCUGCUCCUAGUACGAGAGGACCGGAGUGGACGCAUCACUGGUGUUCGGGUUGUCAUGCCAAUGGCACUGCCCGGUAGCUAAAUGCGGAAGAGAUAAGUGCUGAAAGCAUCUAAGCACGAAACUUGCCCCGA